rnacentral:rRNA from 1 species
GUCCAGACUCCUACGGGAGGCAGCAGUGGGGAAUAUUGCACAAUGGGCGCAAGCCUGAUGCAGCCAUGCCGCGUGUAUGAAGAAGGCCUUCGGGUUGUAAAGUACUUUCAGCGGGGAGGAAGGGAGUAAAGUUAAUACCUUUGCUCAUUGACGUUACCCGCAGAAGAAGCACCGGCUAACUCCGUGCCAGCAGCCGCGGUAAUACGGAGGGUGCAAGCGUUAAUCGGAAUUACUGGGCGUAAAGCGCACGCAGGC